rnacentral:rRNA from 1 species
UGUAUUUAUUAGAUUAAAAACCAAUGCCCUUCGGGGCUCCUUGGUGAUUCAUAAUAACUUAACGAAUCGCAUGGCCUUGUGCCGGCGAUGGUUCAUUCAAAUUUCUGCCCUAUCAACUUUCGAUGGUAGUAUAUGGGACUACCAUGGUUUCAACGGGUAACGGGGAAUUAGGGUUCUAUUCCGGAGAGGGAGCCUGAGAAACGGCUACCACAUCCAAGGAAGGCAGCAGGCGCGCAAAUUACCCAAUCCCGACACGGGGAGGUAGUGACAAUAAAUACUGAUACAGGGCUCUUUUGGGUCUUGUAAUUGGAAUGAGUACAAUUUAAAUCCCUUAACGAGGAACAAUUGGAGGGCAAGUCUGGUGCCAGCAGCCGCGGCAAUACCAGCUCCAAUAGCGUAUAUUAAAGUUGUUGCAGUUAAAAAGCUCGUAGUUGAACCUUGGGCCUGGCUGGCCGGUCCGCCUCACCGCGUGCACUGGUCCGGCCGGGUCUUUCCUCCUGGGGAGCCGCAUGCCCUUCACUGGGUGUGUCGGGGAACCAGG